AAGAAGACAUGCUUGAUGAGAAUUCAAAAUCUCAAAGACAACGAACAAAACGAUACAAAUCCUAAUGCUCUAUAUUACAAAACUUGAAUAAUAAAUAAAU